rnacentral:rRNA from 1 species
GAUGAACGCUGGCGGCGUGCCUAAUACAUGCAAGUCGAGCGAACAGACGAGGAGCUUGCUCCUCUGACGUUAGCGGCGGACGGGUGAGUAACACGUGGAUAACCUACAUAUAAGACUGGGAUAACUUCGGGAAACCGGAGCUAAUACCGGAUAAUAUAUUGAACCGCAUGGUUCAAUAGUGAAAGACGGUUUUGCUGUCACUUAUAGAUGGAUCCGCGCCGCAUUAGCUAGUUGGUAAGGUAACGGCUUACCAAGGCAACGAUGCGUAGCCGACCUGAGAGGGUGAUCGGCCACACUGGAACUGAGACACGGUCCAGACUCCUACGGGAGGCAGCAGUAGGGAAUCUUCCGCAAAGGGCGAAAGCCUGACGGAGCAACGCCGCGUGAGUGAUGAAGGUCUUCGGAUCGUAAAACUCUGUUAUUAGGGAAGAACAAAUGUGUAAGUAAUUAUGCACGUCUUGACGGUACCUAAUCAGAAAGCCACGGCUAACUACGUG